UUUUAAAACCACAUUAUUGCUGCAGCCCCAGAAGCUGAGAAGAAAGAGAACAGAUGGGUGGCUCUUCUCAAAGAAUGGUGCCUUCAUCUGGAUUUCCUCUUCUUAAACAUUUAUCUUCUUGUUCCUUGAAGGCUUUUAGGAAUUAUUAAUUCCACAGUGGCUGCAUGGUAACUGUUGAUUAGUGGUGGCUUAUUUUGGAUUUUCAAAGAAGUCUCUGAUCUACCAAAGUUUGAGGAUCCCAUGUACUCUGUGUCCUCAGGACCAUGUCUUACAUGUGUUUCAGUGAGUGUGUCCAACAGAGGUACACAAAAGGAAGAUUCUAACCCCAAGAUGAUGUAGCUCUUGAAGAAAGCAGGAGAGACUUCUGGGACUUAUGAUGAUAAAGCUGGAAAUCUCGCUCCUCUGGCUCAGAAAAAUAAAGGGCUCUACCUCUCUUGAGAACCCUCAGCACCUAGGACAAGGAGAAACUUAGUGCUUCCAGUGGAGGGGGCUGGUGACAUGAAGUCUACAAAGUUCCCAAGAGAGGACAAAACCUGAGAGCAUCAGCAUGUCUCAUGCAAACUUCCUCUGCCCCUGGAAAAAACUCUGGGGGAUCCAGGCAGGAGAAGAGAUAAGCUGUGGCCCACAUGGCUCCCUGGAGAGAAAGACAGCUCUGCUCUGGUUUACUGGGCUAACUGGAAGACAGCAUUCCCAGAAAGGCUAUUAUGGAGCAGAAUUGUAGCAACGGUGUUCUUUCCCCCAGCUAGUGGAGCUGAGCUUAUAAUGCAGCUCAGCCUUCAGCACAUGCAGAGAUCCACCAACAGAAAAAGAAGGGCCCUUCUAAUGUUUGUACAGUCCAUAAAUCAGUUCUCUGGUGGAGACAGCCUCACCCUUGUUCUUUUGGUGGUCUUUUCUUUUUUACCCGGUACCUUAACCAGGAACUGACUUGUCUUUGCUCACUUACCUUAACUUGAAAUAUUAUCUUAUAUGUUCUUCCUGUGGUGGAAGAUUGAUUUUUUUCCAUCAUUCUCUUCUCUAAUACCUCUUCUUCAUUAUUUUCUAUUGAAUGCCAGCUCCUUUCCCUCUUCUCAAGAAGAGGGAAAAGACACAUGUCAUAACCAUUUUCCCUAUUGAAGGAAGCUGGCAGUUUUAUAACGUAACUCUCAUUACAUUCCUAAGACAGAGACUGGGAUGGGUGUAGUGCAGUGGUCUUCAAACUUAUUUUUUAAACAUUCACAAUUUUCUUUACAAUUUUUUGAAUUCAUCUCUUAGUUACAAAUUCAUUUAUUUGUAAGUUAUACAUAGUUGAUUAUACUAAUCUGUGCAUUUAAAAACACAAAAAUAAAACAUUUAAAUAGUUGAGUUAAAUUUGAAAUAUAUAAUAUUAAUUUUUUAUCAAUUUUAGCUAGUCUCUUACAUCACUAUAUAUCAUCAAGGCAAAGUUCAUCAUUAAUAAUAAUGGAAGUAAAUGUGUAAUUGUUUCAGCUCACAGUGUAGCCGAUAAAGAGAUUGUUCUAGCAGGAAAAGUAAUAGGACUUCCACUUUUUGGUUGUUUGCUUGUGCUUGCUUUAUGAAGAGUCUCUUUAAUUUGCAAUUUCUCACAGGAAUCUUUUUAAGCCCCUCAUUCCUUUUAUGAUGGUUAAUGUAAUAAAAACUAGAUAAGAUCAUCUGUAAACUUAUGUAGACAGAUACAUGUACAUUAUUUUUGUCUUAAUAUUCAAUAUGCUGAAAGUGCAUAAUGUGUGAGGUUCCCUACUGUUAAUGGCCCUGGGCCAUAGAUUCACACUCAGGAAAGCAUGUGUACUGUAUGUGAAAUGAAUCCAUCUCAAAUAGGCUCUGAGUGUAUCAUUGCCAAUAUGCACAUUACAUAUCUGUAAACCUUAUAUUUAUUAUGUUAUAGAUACAAAUAAAUAAAAUGUUAAGUAUUUUCUUCCCAGUCCAAUGAAUCAUUUCGCACAUUCAUCAAUGUGUGGACAGCCUAUAUUAAGAACCAUCACCGGUUUAGUGAAUGUGUAAGAGACUCUUAGUGAUCCACCAUUAUCUCACUUGGAAACCCUAAAAACAACAGAUGCCAUAUGAUCA
rnacentral:lncRNA from 10 species